rnacentral:rRNA from 1 species
GACGAACGCUGGCGGCGUGCUUAACACAUGCAAGUCGAACGGAAAGGCCCUGCUUGCAGGGUACUCGAGUGGCGAACGGGUGAGUAACACGUUGGUGAUCUGCCCUGCACUUCGGGAUAAGCCUGGGAAACUGGGUCUAAUACCGGAUAGGAGCCAUUUUUAGUGUGAUGGUUGGAAAGUUUUUUCGGUGUAGGAUGAGCUCGCGGCCUAUCAGCUUGUUGGUGGGGUAAUGGCCUACCAAGGCGGCGACGGGUAGCCGGCCUGAGAGGGUGGACGGCCACAUUGGGACUGAGAUACGGCCCAGACUCCUACGGGAGGCAGCAGUGGGGAAGAUUGCACAAUGGGCGCAAGCCUGAUGCAGCGACGCCGCGUGGGGGAUGACGGCCUUCGGGUUGUAAACUCCUUUCGCUAGGGACGAAGCUUUUUGUGACGGUACCUAGAUAAGAAGCACCGGCUAACUACGUG